GAAAUAGAACCUGAAACCCUGCACUUACAAGCUGUGGAAGCACAUUUCUUGUGUGACCGCGUACUUUUUGUAGAACGGGCCAACGAGUUACGUUAAGUAGCAAGGCUAAGCACUUAAGGUGCGGAGCCGUAGCGAAAGCGAGUUUUAACUGAGCGUUCAGUUACUUGACGUAGACCCGAAACCGGGCGACCUACCCAUGAGCAGGA
rnacentral:rRNA from 1 species